CCUCUACAGCUUUAAGUAAUUAAAAGGGUAGAUGUUCUCUGCUUUUGAAUUGGCUAGGUUAAAUGGUCAGUAAAUUGGGCUGGUGGUUCCUGGUUGUGGAUGUAAACGUAGGAGUUAACAAAGUUUCAGGGGUAGCUUAUCCACUUGGGUAGUGUAUGCCUCUUCCAGAUAGAAGCAAUAACAUCAGAGAGCUGUAGAUUCUCAUUUCCAGGUCAUGUGGCAAGGCAAUGGUGAGAGGAAAUGUGAUCAGAAUAAAGAAUAUGGUGUUCCCAAAAAGCAGAACUUUUUUUUCUUUUCUUCAUGGGACAACUUUCCCUAGCCUCUGCUUGUUUGAAUGCCUGUAAUUCGCUUAAAGGAGCAAGAAACACCAGCCCACCACUAACAAAAUGAAGUCUUAUGUAAGGAUAAGGGUAACUGAAAAUGACCCAACAUUUUGGGCCCAACUGACCUUUAUCAAAGUCAGACUCCUGGCUACGGCGAGUUAUUAAGGCUAAACCUGUAUAUUCUGUACUGUCCUUGAUAAAGGUCACGUGAGACUAAAUGUCAGACCU